rnacentral:rRNA from 1 species
CCCUUAGAUGUUCUGGGCUGCACGCGCGCUACACUGAUGCACUCAACGAGUUUACGACCUUGCCCGAUAGGGUUGGGUAAUCUUUUUAAAAUGCAUCGUGAUGGGGAUAGAUUAUUGCAAUUAUUAAUCUUCAACGAGGAAUUCCUAGUAAGCGCGAGUCAUCAGCUCGUGCUGAUUACGUCCCUGCCCUUUGUACACACCGCCCGUCGCUCCUACCGAUUGAGUGCUCAGGUGAAUAAUUCGGACUGCAGCAAUGUUUGGAUCCCGAACGUUGCAGCGGAAAGUUUAGUAAACCUUAUCAUUUAGAGGAAGGUGAAGUCGUAACA